UUGUGUGUGGAGACCGAAUUGAGAUUGGAUCUGUUGGAUCUGAAAAGGGGUUAAGUAAUUAAGUCCAAUAGAAGGUGAUUGCUCUACGCCAUGGAAAUCUUGACCCGAGAACCCAUCGGAAAAUAAAUGGGUCAACGGAGGAGAGCAAUCAGAAGGGUAAGAAGUAGACUCUGUUGGGAUAGAAGAAGAAGAAGAUGAAGAAGAAGAAGAGAAAGAGAAGUCCGGAAAAGAAGAAGGAAAAUAAGAAGGGGAAGCAACUUUCAUAAAAGGUUCAAUUGCUUCCAUUAAUUCACCACCAAAUGGAUCUGACUGAAAC
rnacentral:lncRNA from 1 species